rnacentral:rRNA from 1 species
GACGAACGCUGGCGGCGCGCUUAACACAUGCAAGUCGAGCGAAGCGGCGGACGGGGGAGUAACACGUGAGUAACCGGCAUUAGACAUUGGGAUAGCCUCGGGAAACCGGGAUUAAUACCAAAUGGUCUAAGAUGGACUAGCGUCCCAUUAGCCAGUUGGUGAGGUAACGGCACACCAAGGAGACGAUGGGUAGCCGGCCUCGUAGAGUGAACGGCCACUUUGGAGCUGGGAAACAGUCCGAACUCUACGGGAGGCAGCAGUGGGGAAUAUUGCACAGUGGAGUGAACUCUGAUGCAGCGACGCCGCUUGAACGAUGAAGGCUUUCGAGUCGUAAAGUUCUUUUAUAUGGGAAGCGGUACCAUAAGAAAAAGCCCCGGCUAACUACGUGCCAGCAGCCGCGGUAAUAC